AUGGCUGCCCCUCUGCAGUUCAGGGCCGCACCUCCGUGCUCCGCGGCCGAUGGGCUGGCUUCUGAGAAGCGGAUGCAGGACAGGGGGAGAGCGCGCAUCCAGAGGGCAGCUGAUGUGGCCUCCGGGCUGGCCCCAGUCACUGGCACCACUUCUCUCGUGCCUCCAGAGAACUGCAUGAUUUUCCUGAGCGUAGAGGGUCUGAAGCCAUGGCUGUGCCUUUUCAGUGUCCUCUUGAGAAUCUGAUAAAAGUCAUAUCCUCUCCGUCUCAAAAAACGCCCGUGUGCGCAAAGGUUAUGCAGUCAGCUCCCACCAUCUGCAGUAGCUGCGUCCCAGAGGGUCUCCCCAGCGCUGAAUUCUCCAGGAUUCUGGCUUAGCACCAUUGCCCAUGGGGAAAACGCAGUCAGGUUCCUGCGAGCUCUGGCCACAACAUUUUCAUCAGCUGAUCAAUACGUACCUUUGUUUGGACGGAUUUUAAUAUGCUAAGCCCUCUAGUGGCUCCCAUUCCUGCAGACACCUGAUGCUAAGACAGAAAGUAGAAAACCACAGACCCAAGACAGAAACGGCACAGGCCCAGGGGCAGCCUCUCAAGCAGACAUUACCAAUCAACUGGAAUUGAUGUGAAAAUCCUCCCAGGCCGCGGAAGGCAGAGCUCAUGGCUGUGGGUGUGAUGCGGCCCCUCCCCGUGUCUGGAGCCUGGCCGAACCUG